ACAGGCUGCGUCGCGGAGGACAAUGAAAGAGGCUUUAAGGGAACUGGACAGGAAGGAUUUUGCGCAGGGUGUGCUCCUUAUCUUUAUGGUAAUCUGAUAUUGAAAAGAGUGUCCGCAUGUUUGCGGUGGAUUGAGUGUUCACCUGGCUGCGCUGCCCACCUGAAAUGCAGCCUGUGGAGUGAAGAGUCGGCAAUUUGGAAGCCCACCUUUCCUCCUUUCUGGUGGGCAUUUUUUUAGAUGCCAGGGGGAGAGCUUUCCCGCCUGACUCCCCGAGCCUAGGGGCUUUCCCAUGUCUUAACCCCACAUCACAAAAUUAAAUUUGGGCCAGGUGCGCGGUGGCUCACGCCGGUAAUCCCAGCGCUUUGGGAGGCCGAGGCUGGCGGAUCGCUUGAGCUCAGCAGUUCGAGACCAGCUUGAGCGACGUAUUAAGAUCUCGUUUCUACAAAAAAUAAAAUUAACCGGCCGUGGUGGCGCGCACCUGCGGUCCCAGCUCCUCGGGAAGAUGAGGUGGGAGAAUCGCUUGAACCCGGGAGGCGGAGGUUGCAGUGAGCCGAGAUCGUUCCACUGCACUCCAGCCUGGGCGACAGAGCGAGACCCUGUCUCAAACAACAACAAAAACUUUAUCAUUAUUUACUUAAAAGGCCUCCGCGUUGUGGUUAGAUAGUGACGUGUGUGCCAUCCUCCACUUUUUCCCCCGGCGGGUUGUUAAAUGUUUUGUUUUACCUCGGAGGUAUUUUGACUUUUUCAAAGUCACUGAUUAUUUAACCUCCUAGUUUCUCUUCUCGUCGACUGCAGCAAGCUUCCGGUUGCUCUGCCUGCCCUCAGUGUCCCCCAUCUACCAGCUGACCUUCCAGUCCUCCCACCCACGCCCUUGUCCUGCUUGCGGCUCCCGCAGGACUAAGCUCUGCUCCCCGCGCGCGGCUCACCCAGGUCCCAGUCGCUUUCAGCCGCGCGCUCACACGUUUUCCUGUCGCCUGCCCCCGUUCUGUUCGCGCGUGCUGCGCUCUCCAGCCACCCUGACGCCUGCCCGGGAUGAGUUUCCUCCCCACUUUGCCGCGGCCCCGCCGACCGACCGCUUCACUGCCGCCUUCCUGCAUUCUCGCAGACUACGUUGCGGCGUCCCCUGCUCCCGCCCUGAGGACGUCGCUUUUCUGGCACUUUCAUCCUAUGCAUUCUGUUGAGUCUGCUCACUGUCUCACACUGUGAGGAUUGGGACAGUGUCUUAUCACUUUCAUAACAGCGUCUGGCACUUGCUGAAGGAACACAUGAAUGGCGGUCUUGUCGCUGUCAAAGUCUUUGGAGUUUUUCAGUGUACUGUUUUUGAUAUGGGGUUUGGGAAUUUAGGUGGCUUUACUGUAUUUGGGAUAUUUGAGGGGAAAAUGAGCUAGAGGCGUUAAAAUGCUUUCUUCUGAUGGAACAACAAAAUUCUUAUGAAGGACCUUUCCCUGUCAAAAUCAGAGCAAAUAGUAAAGGAUAUAUACUAUUUGGAUAUAAAGAAUGAUUAUAAAGGAUGAUUGUUAAGAGAAAUAGUGAAAAUUAGUGUGGAAAGCUAUAACCAGAUCAACAUUUAUGAGCCAUCCAACAGAAUAAGGGUGUAGCUUUUUUAUGUAUACAAUCUCUAGGAUUCACUCUAGAGAGUGUAACUCCUGAUAUGGACUCCUGGUGCAACAUGCUUCUGUGUAUGUUUUAUAUUUUAAAAAAUCUAUAUAUAUUUAAAAUCUAAAUAUAUUUUUAAAAAUCUCAGUUUUGUUUUAGGAAAGUGUUUUUUCUCAAAAUUUAAGCCCAAAUGAUAAAAUCUGCCAAAUAGAAAACUAUUUUAAAUUGAUAAUAACAGUAUAGUUUCAUCAAAACUAAAAAUACCAGAUCUUUUGAUGUAUUUGUUUCCUAGCAGAGAAUUAAGUUUUCACGUUCUUACUGUUGGCCUCCUAGAUAUCAUGUGAGCAUGUCUUAAGGAAAAAUGCUCUUAAUGCCACUGUGGUUUCUACCUUCAUGUGCAAAUAGAAGAGAGUGGUGGUUUGUAAUAGGCCAUUCUUUCCAGAGAAAAGUUCAUGUGUAUUUCUGUAUAUGCAGCAUCCUCCUUAUUAUGUUUGGAUGUAAAGAUUUAUUAUUCUCUCUGAUGUUUUCAUAUUUUUUAAAUUUACAAUAUAAUAAAGAGGUACAGAGUUCUAAAUCAAUAAAAGAUGGGCUAUAAAAUGGAGGAGUAAAGUUGAUAUAUGAACCAUCAUUGUCAACAUUUUAGAUUUGAUUUUAACUGUAAAAAGCACAAAUGAUAUGCAUCAUAAAACAGCCUUAAACUGAAUGUCCACUUGGUGUGUUGCACUUUACCAGGCACUUAAAAUAUCAGUCCUGUCACAUAGCAACAGAAACCCACAGUGGCACGUUUAAAAAUGGGUAAUCAACGUAUUGAUUUUGAUGGAGCUUUUUCAGAAAUAACUGCUAUUUUAAUUUAACUUAUAAAUAGAAUACAAUAUCAAGUUCAAAUUAAGGGAGGAAAUCAUGCUGUAAAUAUACUGGAUUGAAAAACAUGGUUCUGGCCAGGCAUGGUGGCUCAUGCUUGUAAUUCCAGCACUUUGGGAGGCUGAGGUGGUUGGAUCACUUAAGGUCAGGAGUUCGAGACCAGACUGGCCAACAUGGUGAAACCCCAUCUCUACUGAAAAUACAAAAAUUAGCCCGCAUGGUGGCAUGUGCCUGUAAUCCCAGCUACUAGCUACUCAGGAGGCUGAGGCAGGAGAAUCACUUGAACCUGGGAGGCGGAGGUUGCAGUGAGCCGAGAUGGCGCUACUGCACUCCAGCCUGGGUGACAGAGUAAGACUCCAUCUCAAAAAAAAAAAAAAAGAAAAAGAAAAAAAAGAAAAACAUGGUUCUAAUACUGUCACUUAACACCUUUUCAGUUUUGAAUAAAUCACCUAACUUUUUGGUCUUUAGUUUCUAUAAGAGGACAUUUUUAUUUUAAUGAUCUCUGGCAUUUUUAUGGCAAUAAAAAUGUGUGAAUUCAAAG
rnacentral:lncRNA from 1 species